rnacentral:siRNA from 1 species
CGGUCGCUGCAAAACCUAGGGC